rnacentral:rRNA from 1 species
UGAGGAAUAUUGGUCAAUGGGCGAUGGCCUGAACCAGCCGAGUAGCGUGAAGGAUGACUGCCCUAUGGGUUGUAAACUUCUUUUAUAAAGGAAUAAAGUUGGGGUAUGCAUACCCGUUUGCAUGUACUUUAUGAAUAAGGAUCGGCUAACUCCGUGCCAGCAGCCGCGGUAAUACGGAGGAUCCGAGCGUUAUCCGGAUUUAUUGGGUUUAAAGGGAGCGUAGGCGGACGCUUAAGUCAGUUGUGAAAGUUUGCGGCUCAACCGUAAAAUUGCAGUUGAUACUGGGUGUCUUGAGUACAGUAGAGGCAGGCGGAAUUCGUGGUGUAGCGGUGAAAUGCUUAGAUAUCACGAAGAACUCCGAUUGCGAAGGCAGCUUGCUGGACUGUAACUGACGCUGAUGCUCGAAAGUGUGGGUAUCAAACAGGAUUAGAUACCCUGGUAGUCCACACAGUAAACGAUGAAUACUCGCUGUUUGCGAUAUACAGUAAGCGGCCAAGCGAAAGCGUUAAGUAUUCCACCUGGGGAGUACGCCGGCAACGGUGAAACUCAAAGGAAUUGACGGGGGCCCGCACAAGCGGAGGAACAUGUGGUUUAAUUCGAUGAUACGCGAGGAACCUUACCCGGGCUUGAAUUGCAACUGAAUGAUGUGGAGACAUGUCAGCCGCAAGGCAGUUGUGAAGGUGCUGCAUGGUUGUCGUCAGCUCGUGCCGUGAGGUGUCGGCUUAAGUGCCAUAACGAGCGCAACCCUUAUCGAUAGUUACCAUCAGGUUAUGCUGGGGACUCUGUCGAGACUGCCGUCGUAAGAUGUGAGGAAGGUGGGGAUGACGUCAAAUCAGCACGGCCCUUACGUCCGGGGCUACACACGUGUUACAAUGGGGGGUACAGAAGGCAGCUACACGGCGACGUGAUGCUAAUCCCUAAAGCCUCUCUCAGUUCGGAUUGGAGUCUGCAACCCGACUCCAUGAAGCUGGAUUCGCUAGUAAUCGCGCAUCAGCCACGGCGCGGUGAAUACGUUCCC